rnacentral:misc_RNA from 1 species
GAUGAAGAACUUAGCGAACGUGCGAAACGUAAUGUGAAUUGCAGAAUUCAGUGAAUCAUCGAAUCUUUGAACGCAUCUUGCGCUCCUUGGUAUUCCGAGGAGCAUGCCUGUUUGAGUGUCGUGAAUACUCUCAACUUCAACCCUUUUUUCGGAAAGGGAGGAAGGUUGGACUUGGGUGUUUGUUGAAGUGCGAGCUUCGACUCAUCCUAAAUGCAUUAGCGAUCUGCCUCGAUCACACACAAUGUGAUAAUUAAAACUAAAGCAUUGUUUAAUGAUCAAGUCGAGACUGCUUCUAACUGUCGCAAGACAAUAACGUGCAUACAUUUGUGCAUGUCAUUUGACCUCAAAUCAGGUAGGACUACCCGCUGAACUUAAGCAUAUCAAUAAGCGGAGGA